UACGGAGGAUGCAAGCGUGAUCCGGAAUGAUUGGGCGUAAAGCGUCCGCAGGUGGCAAUGUAAGUCUGCUGUUAAAGAGUCUAGCUCAACUAGAUAAAAGCAGUGGAAACUACAUAGCUAGAGUACGUUCGGGGCAGAGGGAAUUCCUGGUGUAGCGGUGAAAUGCGUAGAGAUCAGGAAGAACACCAGUGGCGAAGGCGCUCUGCUAGGCCGUAACUGACACUGAGGGACGAAAGCUAGGGGAGCGAAUGGG
rnacentral:rRNA from 1 species